rnacentral:rRNA from 1 species
CUCAACCGUGGAACUGCAGGGCAUACUGCGUGUCUUGAGGACGGUAGAGGUUGUCGGAACUGUGGGUGUAGCGGUGAAAUGCGUAGAUAUCCACAGGAACGCCGAAGACGAAGGUAGACAACUGGGCCGUUCCUGACGCUCAGGCACGAAAGCGUGGGUAGCGAACGGGAUUAGAUACCCCGGUAGUCCACGCCGUAAACACUGUGCACUAGAUCCGGGAGGCUCUGACGCCAUCCGGGUCGAAGCGAAAGCGAUAAGUGCACCGCCUGGGGAGUACGGUCGCAAGGCUUAAACUCAAAGGAAUUGACGGGGGCUCACACAAGCGGUGGAGCAUGUGGCUUAAUUCGAAGCAACGCGAAGAACCUUAUCCAGGGUUUGACAUGCAUGGAUGCUCCUCCCGAAAGGGAGAUCUGUUGCCCUUCGCGGGUGAAACA